GGCGCUGUGGCUCAAGUGGUAGAGCGCUAGCCUUGAGCUGAAGAGCUGAAGGACAGUGCCCAGGCCCAGAGUUCAGGCCCCAUGACCGGACCAAAAAAAAAAACAAAUGGUGCUGUUCUCUGAAGCUCUAUAAGCUGAAGACAGACACAAUGUGGCUAAUAAAAACCUUCCAGCCAGAUCAAAUGCUCAUGAUUCCUUUCACCCAUUGUGGGUUUGAGUCCCACCAGUCCCA
rnacentral:tRNA from 1 species